AUACGGAGGGUGCAAGCGUUAUUCGGAAUCACUGGGCGUAAAGGACGCGUAGGCGGGUUGGCAAGUCAGAUGUGAAAUCCUACAGCUUAACUGUAGAACUGCAUUUGAAACUGCUAACCUAGAGUAUGGGAGGGGGAGAUGGAAUUAGUGGUGUAGGGGUAAAAUCCGUAGAUAUCACUAGGAAUACCGAAAGCGAAGGCGAUCUCCUGGAACAUAACUGACGCUAAGGCGUGAAAGCGUGGGGAGCAAACAGGAUUAGAAACCCGUGUAGUCC
rnacentral:rRNA from 1 species